AGCAGCCGCGGUAAUUCCAGCUCCAAUAGCGUAUAUUAAAGUUGUUGCAGUUAAAAAGCUCGUAGUUGAAUUUCGGGAUCGACGGGUCGGUCGCGCCUCCGGUGUGUACUGGCCCUGUCGGUUUCUCCCUUCUGACGAACCACGAUGUCAUUAAUUUGAUGUCGUGGGAAAUCAGGACUGUUACUUUGAAAAAAUUAGAGUGUUUAAAGCAGGCAUUCGCUUGAAUACAUUAGCAUGGAAUAAUGAAAUAGGACGUUUGAUCUUAUUUUGUUGGUUUCUAAGAUCGACGUAAUGAUUAAUAGGGAUAGUUGGGGGCAUUAGUAUUCAAUUGUCAGAGGUGAAAUUCUUGGAUUUAUUGAAGACUAACCACUGCGAAAGCAUUUGCCAAGGAUGUUUUCAUUAAUCAAGAACGAAAGUUAGGGGAUCGAAGACGAUCAGAUACCGUCGUAGUCUUAACCAUAAACUAUGCCGACUAGGGAUCGGAUGAUGUUAAUUUUUUAAUGACUCAUUCGGCGCCUUACG
rnacentral:rRNA from 1 species